AAAGAAAAGAAGAAAAAAA
rnacentral:sRNA from 1 species